GCAAACGCAAGCUACUGCCUGAUCCACCAGAUUGUGUCUGUGUGUGUUCACUGAAAAACCCUUGUGGUGAGAAUCUUUAUCCUUCUGCCAGUUUCUGUAACCUCUUUAUUUCCAAGAGCAGACGUGACGUCAAAGGAAUCUGCUUAUCAAAGUCGUCCGGCUGCCAGACUGUGCUCAAACAAGAACACGUUACAACAGCAAACAGGAAUCGGGAAAAUAUAUAAGAUCUAUUUUUAAAUAUAUUUCCUCUUUUUCAUGUUUUUCUAGAUAUCGACAGUGUUGUAAGUAGAAUACACGUGACAGACUGGAAAUGACAGACACAAGCUGUCAGCACGAGAUCCAAUCUGUGUCUCGCUUAUCUCAAGCUGACUACCGGUGUUUAAUUUAGAAUGUGUAUGGCCAGAUCUAUAAACAGGUG